CCAUAGUGAAGCAGUGUCCUGGAGACCAAGGCUAAGGGGGAGCUGAAGGAAUUUCAGGAAUAAGGACUUCUUCCAGGUGAAAAGUGCAAGACCCUUGAGCUCCUGUCACCUGUGCUGAACAUGACAGGGGUUAGAGCAAGAGUGACUCCUAUCUCCUUCUUUAUCCUCCUUCUUCACUGUUGGGGAGAUACAAAGCCCCAGCUGUUAAUUAAUGACUCAGUUUCAGAUACUGAAUUUCCAUCCCUUUCACAAAGUCACACCAGAUCAAUGGCUGAAACACUUGGUUCCCAAGCAAAUGUUUCUCAAGGUGAAGAUAUUAGUGAACUGUAUAAAGAUUUUCCACAGCCCACUGACCUAGAUAAAGCAUAUGAAGACCAUAUGCCUUUACCAGAAAAUUCAAAGGACAAUGAAUCAAAUAUAGUAUCUAUCCUUCAAACUCUUCAAAACAAACCAGAUUUUCAACGGGUUGCACCAUCAGAUUCUGUGCUAAAGAAAAUCGUCACAAUCUGUAUGAUAGUGACAAGCUCACUGUCUGCCUUAUCUUUGAUACUAUGUAUAUUUUCUUCACUGCUUAUGAAGAGUCAUCCAAGGGAGCCUCCAGUAAACAACACAUGCAACAUUUAUGUAACUAAGGAAAUGAAGAAAAAUCCUGAUGCCAUUAAGGAAAUAUUCUCAGAUAGAACAAAAGAAGACAAUGAUAGCUUGAGCUCAGAUACCCCAAAUCUCCAGAAUGAACAGUCACCAAGAAAUAGUAUUAAAGAAUCUGACAGCAAAGGGAAAUUAUUCAUUCAGAAUUCUAACUACAAUAAUAGAACUAUUUUACCUGGGGAUUUCAUGAAGGGACAUAUAAUGCCAUUGAAGGGAUUCAUAGUUCCAAGUUAUGGAAGCAAAGAUUUUGUUUUAUCUUCAGAAUUAAGUGACUCGGAUGCCUUCCAAAUCCUAUCCCUACCUGAUCGAUUGAGUGAUAUUCCACACCUUCUUUUGAAAAGGGAAUAUAUGGAGAAAAAGGGUCCCAAUAAGGUCAGUGGGUCUCACAAAGAACCAGAGAGCUUGAGUCAUUCACAGCACAAGUUAAAUAGUCCAGACCGGAAGCAUCAGAAUAAUGCUUCCCCUGACUCGCUGAAGUAUGCUCAAGAGACUCAGUCUGAUACAUACCCAUCUUCAAAUAGUACAGAGAACCCAGAACUGGUAGACAACCCCCAAAGAAAUAAGUCAGCAAUAGUGGGUUCCAGUAUCUCUUCUAGCUGGUCUUCCCACUCAGACUAGGAGGGAGCAAUGCAAGAGUUCAGAUUCUCAUUUGUCAGUGUUCUUUAAGCCAGUCCUUUUACCACCUGAAAUCAUGGUAGAGCCCUCAUGGAAUCCUGGACGUUAUGUUUUUCUUUUGCAAUUUAGCCCCAAAAUAAAAAUUAUUUUUAUAUUGGACA
rnacentral:lncRNA from 1 species